rnacentral:tRNA from 1 species
GCAGUGAUGGUUCAAUGGUAGAAUUCUUGCCUUCCAUGUUGGAGGCCUGGGUCAAGUCCUGGCCACUGCA